rnacentral:rRNA from 1 species
GACGAACACUGGCGGCGCGCCUAACACAUGCAAGUCGAACGAGCGAGAGAGAGCUUGCUUUCUUGAGCGAGUGGCGAACGGGUGAGUAACGCGUGAGGAACCUGCCUCAAAGAGGGGGACAACAGUUGGAAACGACUGCUAAUACAGCAUCAGCCCACGGUGCCGCAUGGCACAGAGGGAAAAGGAGCAAUCCGCUUUGAGAUGGCCUCGCGUCCGAUUAGCUAGUUGGUGAGGUAACGGCCCACCAAGGCGACGAUCGGUAGCCGGACUGAGAGGUUGAACGGCCACAUUGAGACUGAGACACGGCCCAGACUCCUACGGGAGGCAGCAGUGGGGAAUAUUGCACAAUGGGGGAAACCCUGAUGCAGCGACGCCGCGUGGAGGAAGAAGGUCUUCGGAUUGUAAACUCCUGUUGUUGGGGAAGAUAAUGACGGUACCCAACAAGGAAGUGACGGCUAACUACGUG